rnacentral:tRNA from 1 species
GAGGGUAUAGCUCAGUGGUAGAGCGCAUGCUUAGCCUACACAAGACCCUGGGUUCAAUCCCCAGUCCCUCCU